rnacentral:rRNA from 1 species
GACGAACGCUGGCGGCGUGCUUAACACAUGCAAGUCGAACGGAGUGCUCAUGACAGAGGUUUCGGCCAAUAGAUUGAGUUACUUAGUGGCGGACUGGUGAGUAACGCGUGAGUAACCUGCCUUCAAGAGGGGGGAUAACAUUCUGAAAAGAAUGCUAAUACCGCAUGACAUAUGAUUGUCGCAUGGCAGACAUAUCAAAGAUUUAUCGCUUGAAGAUGGACUCGCGUCCGAUUAGUUAGUUGGUGAGGUAACGGCCCACCAAGUCGACGAUCAGUAGCCGGACUGAGAGGUUGACCGGCCACAUUGGGACUGAGAUACGGCCCAGACUCCUACGGGAGACAGCAGUGGGGAAUAUUGGGCAAUGGGGGAAACCCUGACCCAGCAACGCCGCGUGAAGGAAGAAGGCUUUCGGGUUGUAAACUUCUUUUACCAGGGACGAAGGACGUGACGGUACCUGGAGAAAAAGCCACGGCUAACUACGUG